rnacentral:lncRNA from 1 species
UCUUUCAUUAAGAAUUGAACAGAAUGAAAAUAUUUAUUAUGACUCUGGCUCGAUUACAUAUUUUCAACUUACAGAAGUAUGUGUUGUGCAAUGACAAUGUAAGAAUCGGUUACUGGGUCAGAAAAACGUGACCUAGAUAUUGAAUUUAAUGUUAAAAAUAUGUUUGGAAUUGGUAUUUGUUGAAGAGAUUAAUUUCUUGUGAAAAGAUAGUAAAAUCACACACACACACACACACAAAAAAGGAAUUUCAUACCCAAUUCUUACCUGUUUUGUUCUAUUUUUAGUAUAAGAGGAAGACCACUAUGUAACGUUUAACGGGAAGACGGAAAAAGUGAUUCUGAUGCAUUGCCAUAUUCAUGACAUAUUUAUAUUUUUAUCCCUUCUACUUCAAACAACUUCAAACUUUUAUUUCACAAAGCACACAUAUUUUACCACACACACACACACCUUCACAUAUCAAAACUUUUGCAAAACUACUAGAGAAGGGAAACAUGUCAAUAUUUAGAAACUGGCAACUGUUGUAGAAUGUAUAUUAAACCUGUCUCGAGGUCUCUGCCCUCAGUUUCCCUCGAACAUUCGGUGUUCUUGAAGAUUAAAAGGUGAAAAAUGAAGACGAGUGUUAUCCUCACCGUGUGCUUGUUGUUGUUUGUGUCCGCAAUGGUUUCAGCCAUGGGAACGCGAGAUUGUCCUUCCGUGUGCACCAAGAGAUGCCAGCCCGUGUGUGGAACCGAUGGGAGGACAUACAACAACCCUUGUCUCCUCCGAAGGAAAAAGUGCACAAGGAAAGAGAGUCUUAAGGUCU